rnacentral:lncRNA from 1 species
UUUUAACCUAUCUAAAAUUCUUGUUUUUCAGUACUCGGGAUUAAACCCAGGUUUUUGUGCUUGCUAGGCAAGUACUCUAGCAUUGAGCUACAUCCCCAAUUUGAGCGAGUCUUGACGAAGGUGAAUCUGAGCAACACUCAAAGGAGGAGUGUAUGUGUUCCCGUCACUGGUUCUGGUCAAUGGUCACUCAGCUAUCUUGUCGUGGAGGGUAGAGAUGCGGAAUCAAAACACAGACUCCAGGAGCUGCACCUUCAGAAAAUUGAGAAGGCUCAAGUUUAGCAUGUUGAAGACAAGGCUGUAUCCUUUCUUGUGAAAAGUUUUUUUUUGCUUGAGGAUUGGCCAUGUUGGCAGAAUGUGCCCUGUUGACCCAUAUCUUUGCAGGACCCAGAGGGAGGUGAAGGAAUUAG